UGCCUCGUGGAAAGUCUCCAGGACUUCACCGCCGCAGCUUUUUCCCAAAGCUGGCGCUCAUGCGGGGCAUAGACACCCAUGGACUUCAAGAACCAGUUGCCCCAGUCUGCUUCAGAGUGAGAAGAAUGCAGCUGAGUUUUCCACCAUGCUUGUCUGGUGCUAUGCUGAAUUGACUCAGCCAAGAUUCCAUGCUUCUUCCAUGCUGAGCUGUGGUUCCAGAUGGAUAAGCAAGCAGGCCUGCUGUGGGGGAGCUGUGGAGAAGGCCUUCAACACCACCGCUGCCAUAGCUGAAGCUGCUUAAUCUUUCACCUGGAGGACUUCUCUGCAUUCCAGCCACGGGGACCCACAUCUUCAAGCAAGCUAGCCAGGCUGCUGAGUCUGCUAAGUGCUCCCACAAGUCCAGCAGUGACAACACCACCUCCCAGAACCUGCCUAGGAUGCCAAGCUGCCUUCUUCCAGCCACACCACCUGACUAAAGACUCCAGAGACUACACUGAGAACCAGAGAGACACGACAAACUCUAGAGACAUGCCAAACUCCAGAGACACAUGCCAAGAUCCUGAGAUACAUGGUAAAUCCUACAGAAGACAGAUCCAGACCCUCUAGCUAUAGAUGAACUUUUUUGCCAACAUCAAAUAGCUAAAGUUACAUGUUAGUAAGGAAAACAUAAUGUCUAUCUAGAUUAGUCAGCUGUUAUUACCCUUAAACUGUGCCACCUCUAUUCAAUUGAUUCAAUGAUCCCUUGCCUUCCCAACCCCCACCCUCAACUUCCCUUACUCUGUGACUUAAUUGUGCUAACCCCUCCGGCCUAAAUAGUGCUU